AUGAACCACAUUUUUCCCUACUUUAGUAGGUUUACACAAGUCUUCCACAAGGUAAUACCUCCAUUGCCACCAGGUCCCCGUGGCUUGCCAAUUAUUGGGUACCUUCCAUUUCUGGGCACCGAACAUCAUAGGAAAUUUGAGGAAUUGGCAGGGGUCUAUGGACCAAUUUACAAGGUUUGGCUUGGACAAAAAUUAUGUGUAGUGGUAAAUUCACCAUCACUAGUGAAAGAAGUGGUUCGUGACCAAGACACAAUAUUUUGUAACCGUGACCCUCCCAUAGCUGCACUGGCUGCCACUUUUGGAGGAGCUGAUAUUGCAUUUUCAUCAUAUGGUCCUAAUUGGAGGAAGCUGCACAAGAUAUUUGUGCGAGAGAUGCCAAGUAAUGCAAAUCUUGAGAGCUCUUACACCCUACAAAGAGAAGAAGUUAAGAAUUCGAUUAGAAAUGUGUAUGACAAGAUUGGCGCGCCGAUAGAUUUUGGGUAAUUGACAUUUGUGACAGUGAUAAAUACGAUGUUGAACAUGUUGUGGGGUGGCACGCUACAAGGAGAGGAAGGGGCUAAGUUUAAAAAAUUGAUAGCUGAACAAAUGGUGCUAUUUGGAAAACCAAAUGCUUCAGACCUUUUCCCAGUGCAUGCAAGGUUUGAUUUAUAAGGGACUGAGAGGCAGUCAAAGAAAUUUUUCAAUGGUCUGAGAACAUUCUUGAUACUGCAAUUGAAAAGCGGAUGAAUUCCAACGAAGGCAAAGAAGAUGGGACAGGAAAGUUUGAACAAAAGGACUUCUUGCAAUUUCUGUUGGAGCUAAAGGAAAAAAAUGACACUGCAACAUCAAUUAGCAUGACCCAAGUCAAGGCCUUGCUUUUGGACAUAAUGGUGGGUGGAUCCGAGACCACAGCAACCAUGGUGGAAUGGGUGAUGGCAGAGCUAAUGCAGCAUUUAGAAGCAAUGAGAAAAGUCAAUGAAGAAUUAACAGAAAUUGUGGGAUCAGACAGCUUAGUAGAAGAAUCCCAUUUGCCCAAAUUACACUAUUUAGAUGUUGUCAUUAAGGAGACAUGCCGCUUGCACCCUGCGCUUCCCUUCUUAGUACCUCGUUGUCCAAGCCAAUCUAGCACUAUUGGUGGGUACUAUGUACCAAAAGGUACUAGGAUUUUAUUAAAUGUUUGGGCUAUACAUAAGGACCCAAAGAUUUGGGAGAAUCCCUUGGAAUUUCAACCAGAGAGGUUCCUAAAUAAUCCUAGCAAAUUUGAUUUUUCUGGCAACGAUUUUAAGUAUAUUCCAUUUGGAUCUGGGAGAAGAAUAUGUGCAGGGAUUCCACUAGCAGAGAGGACUCUAACAUACACCAUAGCUUCGUUCUUGCAUUCGUUCGAGUGGAAAUUGCCACAGGGUAUAGAGCUUGAGUUAUCAGACAAAUUUGGUAUUGUUGCUAAGAAGUUGAAACCAACAGUUGCAAUUCCAGCACCAAAGUUAUCCACGUUUGAGCUCUACACAAAAUAA